GACGAACGCUGGCGGCGUGCUUAACACAUGCAAGUCGAACGGAAAGGCCCUGCUUUUGUGGGGUGCUCGAGUGGCGAACGGGUGAGUAACACGUGAGUAACCUGCCCUUGACUUUGGGAUAACUUCAGGAAACUGGGGCUAAUACCGGAUAGGAGCUCCUGCUGCAUGGUGGGGGGUGGAAAGUUUCGGCGGUUGGGGAUGGGCUCGCGGCUUAUCAGCUUGUUGGUGGGGUAGUGGCUUACCAAGGCUUUGGCGGGUAGCCGGCCUGUGUGGGUGACCGGCCACAUUGGGACUGAGAGACGGCCCAGACUCCUACGGGAGGCAGCAGUGGGGAAUAUUGCACAAUGGGCGGAAGCCUGAUGCAGCAACGCCGCGUGCGGGAUGACGGCCUUCGGGUUGUAAACCGCUUUCGCCUGUGACGAAGCGUGAGUGACGGUAAUGGGUAAAGAAGCACCGGCUAACUACGUG
rnacentral:rRNA from 1 species